rnacentral:misc_RNA from 1 species
UACAAAAGAAUUUUUAUGGUUAGGAUCUUCAUGGACAUGCCAGAAAAGACGAAAACAUUAUCAGUCUUUUCAACGGAAUGGCAUCAAAAUUUCUGUGAGUGCUUCUGGGGAUUGCUAUUUGUUUUGUAGCCCAUGUAUCUUUUAUGUACUGUUACUUACUCCAUGCAUUUUUGCCUGCUUCUUUUUAACAUCCUUCUAGGUAUAUUACUUUGUGUUUGUCUUAGCUGAGGAGGAUAAAAG